AGAAAGAGGAAGUCUUAGGCAGACACACAUAAUAAUACAAAGGGGUGACUAAAUAAUUUGCUUUCUGAGAAGAAUUCAGUAAAUCGCAGUAGUAACAAAAAAAAAAUGAGUGACGACACAGUUCCUCUGAUUUCAGACGAUGAUUAUUAUUCAUCAGGAAGGACAGAGGGCAUUCAUUGGGGAUCAAGUAAUCAAUAUCCUCAGGACUUGGAGGCUCAAAGCAGCACACUUGCCAGGACUGAACAUACAACUACAGUGAAUUCAUCUGAAUUAAGGAUUGUUUUGGUGGGUAAAACCGGAUCAGGCAAGAGUUCAACAGGAAACACUAUACUGGGCAAAGACAAAGGCAAAUUUGAUGUCUUAAAACUUUCUACAAACGGAGUGACUAAAACCUGUCAGAAAGAAGAAGUGAUGGUGGAUGAGAAGAAGGUUUCAGUGAUUGACACUCCAGGAAAAUUUGAUCCAUCAAUUACUGAAGAGACGUUGAGGUCUGAGAUCAUAAAUUGUAUAAACUUGUCCGUUCCUGGUCCUCAUGUGUUUCUGGUGGUCAUCAGACUGGAUGUGAGAAUCACAGAUGAGGAGAAGAACACAGUGAGAUGGAUUCAGGAGAACUUUGGAGAAGAUGCUGCACGUUACACAAUCGUUCUGUUCACUCACGCUGAUGAACUAGAUGGAAAAUCACUAUCAGACCAUAUGAGAGUUAGCAAUGAUCUCCAGGCACUUGUUAAUAACUGUGGAGGCAGAUGUCACUCAUUCAACAACAGAGAUAAGACGAACCGCUCUCAGGUCACACAACUGCUGGAGAAGAUUAAAAAUAUGGUGGAAGAGAAUGGAGGUGAUCACUACACCAAUGACAUGUUCCUAGAGGCUCAAAGGAAGAUACAUAUAAACAUGUUUUGGUCACAGACACCUCGGAUUGUGCUGCUGGGUGAGGGCGGGUCAGGAAAAACUGCUUCAAGAAAAACCUUUCUGGGAAAAGAUAGUGAUUCACCACAUCCAGCUACUAAAACCUGUGAACAACAUGAAACAAAAGUGGAUGGAAAAAACGUUAAAAUAAUCGACACUCCAGAACUGUUUGAAACAUCAAAAAAUAUGUUGAAGAUGAAGGUAAAUGCUGAAAUAAAGAAAUUGUUCCGCAUAUCUGAUCCUGCUCCGUGUGUGUUCCUGCUGGUCAUCAAACUGGGUGGCAAAUCCACUAAGGUAAACAUGGUGAAAUGGAUUCAGGAGAACUUUGGAGAAGAUGCUGUAAAAUACACCAUCAUUCUGUUCACUCAUGAAGAUCAGUUGAAAGGUAAAGCCUUAAAUGAACAUAUUAGAACGAGAUCAGAACUACAAGAAUUGACUGAAAGCUGUGGUGGCAGAUAUCACUCAUUUAAUAAUAAAAAUAUGAAGAACCGCUCUCAGAUCACACAACUGCUGGAGAAGAUUAAAAAUAUGGUGGAAGAGAAUGGAGGUGAUCACUACACCAGUGACAUGUUCCUGGAGGCUCAAAGGAAGAUACAUAUAGAGAUGUUUUGGUCACUGAAACCCAGGAUUGUGCUGGUGGGUAAGAGUGGAGCAGGAAAAACUGCUACAAGAACAAACAUUCUGAGACAAAAUAGUGAUUCACCAAAUUCACCAACUAAAACUUGUGAAGACCAUGAAGCAAAUGUGGAAGGAAAAAACGUAAUAAUAAUUGACACUCCAGGGCGUUUUGAAACAGAGAAGUUGGAAUCUGAGAUUAAGAAGUGUGUAAAGCUGUCUCUUCCUGGUCCUCAUGUGUUUCUGCUGGUCAUCAGACUGGAUGAGAGCAUCACAGAAGAUGAGAAACACACAGUGAGAUGGGUUCAGGAGAACAUUGGUGAAGAUGCUGCAUCCUACACCAUCAUUCUGUUCACUCAUGUUGACCAGCUGAGGGAUAAAACAUUAGAUGAGUGUAUCACAGAGAGGUCAGAUCUACAGGCACUGGUGAACAGCUGUGGUGGCAGAUAUCACACAUUCAACAGUACAGACAGAGAAAACCAACAUCAGGUCGCAGAGCUGCUGCAGAAGAUUGAGACAUUGGCAGAGGGAAACAAAUGGAAGUACUUCACAAAUGAUAAGCUUAAAGAAUUUGUGAAAAGUAAGAUAAACUUUGAAAAGUUAAAAGCUACAUUGGGAGGUGUAGGAGGUGUAGCAGGUAUGAUAGCUGGAGGUGUGGUUCUGGGAGUAACAGAGUUUAUUGCAGCACCAGCAGUCGCAGUUGCAGUUGGUGUAGUUGUAAUUGGAGCAGCUGGAGUGUACACUUACAGAAAGAUUACACAGUGGCGUAAAAAAACGUCUUGGGAUUCUUUAGUUAAUUAUUGUAAUAUAGGGCUUCUGUGAUUGUCAGUGUGACACCAGAAUGUAAAAAGUCAUUUUAAUGGAUGGCUUGAAAGACCAUUCCUAUUUAAAUUCAUUCUACACAGUAUGUUUAAAAAAGUGAUAACUGAAUAUUUGUUCUCUUUCCACACCUAUGCCUCUAACAAUUUUGAGCUUUUUGUCUUAGUACUUCUAGUGUCUCUUAGAAAAAACAUUAUGUUGUUUUAAUCACUUUUGUAAGUAAUUUUGGAUAAAAGUAUGCUAAAUGGUCUUCUAUAUGAUCUUAUAUUAGAAAAUAUCUCAGAGUACUUGGAGUAAAUCUUAUUUUAUUUUAAAGUGUCAGAUUAUUCUUUUUCUUUACGGUAAAUCGAAAAUGUAUAAUAAGUAUACUGAAAUAUAUUUUCUUCUUUCACUGUUUAAAGUUGUGUCAUGUUUUAAUAUAAUUUACAGCAGUGGUCACCAACCCUGCUCCUGGAGAUCGACCGUCCUGAAGAUUUCAGCUCUAACCCCAAUCAAACACACCUGAACUAUCUAAUCAAGGUGUUCAGGUUUGCUUGAUAAUUACAGACAGGUGUGCUGAAGCAGGGUUGGAGCUGCAGUCUGCAGGACGGUCGAUCUCCAGGAACAGGGUUGGUGACUAUGGGAUCAGAAUCCCGCCACAACUAUUGUGGUCAUGGUUUGAAAAAUAAUAAGCGUAAAUAAAAAAAUAAAAGCACGUGUAAAAUAAUAGUGCAAAAAACUGAAAAACAAAUGCAAAAAAAAUUAGAAUAACAAACAACGCGGUCACGGAUCGAAAAGUAAUAGGCGUGAAUCAAAAAUGUAAACACGUUUAAAAUUAUAUUGCACAAAACUGAAACAUGAAUUCAACAUUUUCCAAAUCACAAACAAAAUCAGGUUUCCCGCUCAUAUAUAUUUUUUGUGUGCUUACGGUCUUUUCCCCUUUGCUCUCGUUUCCACGUUCUGCGCUCGCGUUUCCAAAUGUUGCGGUUAGAGUUUCAUGUAAAUUUGGUCGGGCUCAGGGCGGGCUUCAGCGUCACCAUUGGUCUACUAGUUCUAGAUUGACAGCUGCUCCUCUAGCCAAUCCGUCGAAGGGGGAGGUGACGUCACUCCAAUGCGACUCGUGUCGCGGCAGGCGUGUGAAGAUGGAUAACCAGCGUCAGCAGGCAAAUGCCGGACAAUCUCAGGUAAUUAGCUUUUAAUGAUUUAUUAGUGGGUGACAGAUACAUUCCCUUUGUGUGUUAUGUUAUUUUCUGCAAGCUCUAUGUAGUCCGAGUAGGCCGAUAUCUAGGCAGUUAACACGUGUAUUGUUCGUUUGGUUUAGUUAGGAAUCUUUUAUAUCUUAGGCAGUAUUUCAGUUUUUGGCUGUAAGUUAUAUCUAAAAUUGCAUGAUUUUGCUAGCUGUAACGGUGUAGCCUCGAGAUCAUAGCUUGACCAGCUAUUCCAUGAAGAUUAUUAUGGUUUUAUGCAUUGAUCCUAACUCACUAGCUCAAGGUGGCCCAGCCCCAUGUUUUAUGAGAGAGUGGUGCUACUUUUACCCCACCACUGGGGAAGUUGAUGUCACCAGAACUUGCAAGGAUGAUGUAGAUGAUGUUGACUACUCCCUAUUGAUCGCAAAGGUUGAAGAGGCAACUGAUCUGACUGAAUUCACAGAUGAAAUUAUCAGCUGUGGAUACACAGGAGCACUCAACAUAGAACAAAAAGAUGGCAUAAUUCGAGCAAUUGUUCUUCAUACAGCAUUUCAAGUUACACCAAUGCUUGGAGACUUGCGUAAAGGGCUCCAGCUGUAUGGAUUGCUGGACAUAGUUAAGGACCAUCCAAGUCUUUGCAAGAGUCUGUUUGUUCCUGGGGAGGAUUGUACACCAGAUGCAGACUAUAUUCUCAGCAAUGUUGCUCCUGAAAUGAGUGAGAGAGGAACUUCAAGGGCUUCGGUAGAGAGCAAAAUCAUAAACUACUUUCAGGACUUCCUUCAAGAAAUUGAAUGUGGAGAGUGUGCUGAAGAUGCAACAGAAGUGGAAACUGAGCCAUCAUCCUACCUCACUGUCCCUAGAGUCAUGCAGUGGAUUACAGGCCAGGGGCAUAAGCCACUACUGCUUUCAGAACAGAAGGCUUUUCAGAUAGUUUUUAAAUUUGAUCAUGACUGUAAAGUCAGAAUGCCACAUCACACCAUAUGCUACCCAAUAGUGAGCGCUUGCACUAAUACAGUAACUUUUCCAGUAGCACACAUGACAACAUAUGAAGACUUUAAAUGCAUCAUUGUACAAGCCAUACAAUCAGGGGGAACAUUUACAGUGCUCAGUGUAAAUGA